UGUCAGGAAUUAGUUUUUUGGUGUUUAAAAUAAUAAUAAUAAUAAUAAUAAUAAAGCGUUUUGGUGCCCAGAUAUGUAAAUACGACCGGAAAUUACAUAAACUUUCAUGCCCAUAAAACGAAUCUUAACUGAAGUAAAUAUAUAGUCCAGAGCGCAUUUCACUUCAUUGUGAAACUGGUUUGGUUAUAUUAUUUACAAUUUAUUGUUUGUUUGUUUUUUUGUUUGUUUUUUUCAUGAGUCAUUUUGUCGCUGGUUGGUGUAGACACUUUAAACUCUUUACAAAAGUGAUUUUAAUGUCUUAUGGGGUAAUGAAUGAAAGCAAUACAUCCGGGAGUGGGCGUUUCCUGUUCGCGCUCCGCCAAUUAGGAGUCAGUGGGCGUGGUUUAGUCGAAAUAAUUUCCGCUGUUUGAGUAUAUCGAAAACUAUUAACGGACUGUUAGGACUUUAAACACUGGAGCGUUGGGACAUUUAUCAGUUUUCUUGUUGUUGCUUGUGAUUAAUUUAAAACAAUAAAAUAAGAAUGUUACUAACAAUAUAGUUUUGUUAAUUUGCAAUUAUUAGUGUGAGAUCUUGUUGCAGAAACGUCACAUUAAUAAUGCAAAGGCGAUUAAUUAAACAGAAGAAAGUCGUUAAUAAACAUCACUGAGAGUCAUGGCGAGUAUUACGUCACUGUACAGAUGACAGUGGAUGGGGAAGGGUGACGUCACAUGGGGGGGAUGGAGAGUGACGAAAAUAACAAACAGGCUGUUUCUGGGUGUGGGGGUGAAGAGCUGAAGGACGAGCUUCGACUUUUACUAAAUUUAUUUAAUUUGGGUCCUGUUAUUUUCUGGCGUCAAGUUAUUAUUUCGUGCCUGUUGACGCUGGAGAAGAAAGUUGUCGUGUAAUUUCGAGUAACAGAGCUGUGAAGUCAGGGGAAGGAGAGACAAUGGCUCAGGAGACAAAUCAGACCCAGGUGCCCCUGCUGUGCUCCACUGGCUGUGGUUUCUAUGGAAACCCACGCACCAAUGGCAUGUGCUCCAUCUGCUACAAAGACUUCCUGCAGAGGAAAAACACCAACGGCAGGGUCACUGAGACAGUGUCAGUGCCUGCUGUGUCAUCCAGCCUGAGCAGUUUAGACGAAUCUCUGUCUGCGUCGUCCUCCACAGUUACUCCCACAGGAGUCCCACACGAGGAGGAAGUUUCGGGAGCUUCAGUCCAAGCAGAGCCGAAAACACAAGACGUAACAGCCUCAGGAUCAGACGCAUCCACACAGCCAGCCACCCCCGAGCCAGACAAAUCCAAACCCAAAAAGAACCGCUGUUUCACCUGCCGCAAGAAAGUGGGCCUGACGGGCAGAACUACUGUCAGAGCUGUAAUAGAAAAUUGAUGAACAUCUCUGACUGAUCAGAAUUGCUGUUGUAUAAAACAGACUUACACAACAGUUAGUUAAGGGCCACUAAUUCGAUUGGACGAGCGGCUUUCCAAGAGGGCUUAUAUUUAGUAUAUCCGCACUGGGACAUUUCACCGUUUGUAUCGCACCGCUUGCCUGUUUUCCACUUCUAGUAACAGUCCCAUUGACUCCAUUACCAUAGUAGUGUUAGCGACUUCAUCAGCGGCAAAUGAAAAACAUUUUUCGUGAUUUAAAAAUUCUUAAAAUAUGAACACUCGUCAGAUGAGGAUGAAAAGGAAGAGGGACACCAAUUUCUCUAGCCGCACCUUUAACGGGUUUCGACUGCCGCUGUGGAAACGUGUUCUGUGGUGUUCACCGAUACUCCGACGUCCAUAAUUGCACCUUUGACUAUAAAGCUGACGCCGCUGAGAAAAUCAGGAGAGAAAACCCGGUCAUCGUCG